rnacentral:rRNA from 1 species
UACGUAGGGGCCGAGCGUUGUCCGGAGUUAUUGGGCGUAAAGCGCGCGCAGGCGGCCUCGCGCGCCCGACGUGAAAGCCCCCGGCUUAACCGGGGAGAGUCGUUGGGGACGGCGGGGCUUGAGGGCGGGAGAGGGUGGUGGAAUUCCCGGUGUAGUGGUGAAAUGCGUAGAGAUCGGGAGGAACACCCGUGGCGAAGGCGGCCACCUGGGCCGACCCUGACGCUGAGGCGCGAAGGCGUGGGGAGCGAACAGG